CUCUAGUUCUGGUCAAUAAAUUCAGCACGUAUUUUCCUCAAAUCCGCUUAUAUGUAGCCAACAAAGAAUCAUGCAAUAAGAACAAAUAGAAUGAAAAACUCCUAAAAGUAUUAAACCUUUUAUUCCAUCAAUAAUCCAUCAAAUUAAACCAUGAAAUCCCUUUGAAAACCCUUUAAACCCAACUAAAGAAAUACUCAGACAUAAUUCUAAAAUUCAUUAUCAAGACAAACAAGAAUUGCAGAAACAAAAGACAAAGAAUAUAGAAGAUUAAAAACGGCCGCUCCAAUAGUCGAUGGUGAUGAUGAGAUGUCGCAAACUGAUUCUGGUGUGUAUGAAGUGGUUGGAGAGUUGUCACACCAGAAGACUUAAGACCUGUUUUGAUGUGGUAUCUUCAUCGUAUUGAGGCGCAUAUGAUUUCUUUUCAUGCAUCAAAGUGAUGGGUUUGAAGUGGACUUGCAACUUAAUUGAUCUGUGUUGAACUGAAACUGAACGCUGGUAGAACAUUCAGGUUACGGUCCAAGUGUCUUUGUCCGCAUUCACGACACUUCAGGUUGUGGCCAUGAGCUUUUCUGCUUCUUGGUUUCUGCACUUGACAGCUUUGUGGGGCUUCAGUAACCUUCAUGUAGUUUAAGAUCGAACCAUGGGAUCAUCCUCCAACCAAUUGCAUAUGAAAGACUGUUGAUCCUUCUAUCUUGUGUCCAAAACUGAGCUUGAACAGAUGAUAACAACGGAUUUUGAUCACUUUUAUGAAUCAUAUUAAUGUCUUAUGCAGGUGUUUUAACUCUGUUUUUCAAUGGGUUUUAAAGUAUUUUCAAUGUUUUAGAAUUUCAAAAUACUUUUCAGAAAACUUAGACUAAAGUUGUGUAAUUUGGAAUAAACAAACAAUUUUGGAUAAACGCAGACCGUCAAAAGUAUGGCAAGCGCUGAAAAUUUUCUCACCGUCUGAUCACCCCCAAAAUUUGAGACGACAUAGAAUAGACAACCAGAUUUCUAAUGCAAUUGGUUUGAAGACAAUCCAACGGUUGGAUCUUCAGAUAUUCUUGAUACACUAAAGACAGAAAAUACAGUCUCGAAGGAGAGCAUAGGCCGUGACCGCGGCCAGACUAUGAUUCCCCAUGGAUACAAGCACCGCGACCGCGGCCAGACAACAUUGACAUCCCGAGACGACCUAAUUCAGGCCCAAUUCGAUUUCUUUCAUUAUUUUUGAAGCCUUAAGUGUCAAAGGCAACUCCAUAAGCUAUAAAUACCUCCCUUAGGUCAUUUCUAAAGAGUGAGACAGAGAGAUUUGUGUGUGUGCCUAAUUUUUACAAAAAUCCUAGAGAGAGGAGCUAUCUUCGAAGAUGAUCCGUCGAGGAGAGCAUCAUCAUGCCUCCAUCUGCGCCUCUGUUCUUCGUUUCUCUUGUUUGUUCUUUUUAAUUUUCAGCAACUUUAGAUACUCUAUGAUGUUUUGUUACAAUAUGUUUGAGUAGUUUCCCAGUUGGGGUUAAUGAGAUUUUUCAAAAAGAAUUUCAUGUGUCUUCUUCUAUGAACUGUUAGAUUUAGGAUUUAUAAUCUUCUAGGUUUCGUUUAUCUUUAUUCUUAUUGUGUGAUUCUUUGAGUAGUUUCCCAGUUGGGUUUAAUGGGAUUUUUCAAAGAGAAUUUCAUGUGUCUUAUUCUAUGAAUUGUUAGAUUUAGGAUUUACAAUCUUCUAGGUGUUCUUCGUUUACCUUUAUUCUUAUUCCGUGAUUUUUUGUUGGCCACUUAGAAUUCGAUUUCGAUAACUGGUGUUGCGAAAGUUUUCAUUAGUUGUCCGACCUAGGGUGAAAAGAGCAGCUCUGUCAUAGGAGUGAAAACCUAUUUAUAGGUGAGUUUUGAAUGUAGAUGAAUCUUGUUCAAACUAUUGCGUACAAUUGUGGCUGGGGCCAGAGUCGAAAGCUACUGGUCAGGGUUGUGACUGACAGUUGGUUAGUACUGCGAGAGUAGGCUAGUCAUACUACCGCACUCAAGUUCUAGAACAUCCGUAGUCGAUUAUCUUUAUCAUUUAUUUCCGUCAUAGGUUUAGUCCAUGAAUCCCUGCGAAUUUCCCUUAAGCUCAGCGUCCGUUUUUAAUUAUUUACAACCUCGAUUUUUAUUUGUUUUUUACUUACUUUGCUUUCUAGCUUAGAUUUAGUGACACCCAAAACCAAAAACCCAAAUUGUUCAGCUCUAAUAUGAUUUAAGUAUUAGCGUGAAUUCGUACUAAAACAGCCAAGUCUUUGUGGAUCGAUACCCUAAGUAUUACAGUGCACAUCUGUGCACUUGCAGACAUUUAGGGAUUAUAAAUUUAGAACCUGAAGCUUAGUAAAACCAACCCCCAUUCUAUGCAGCAUCAACAGACGGUGAGAAGGUCUUCUUCCAAAGUUGGAUUGCUAAUGGUCUACAUCUGUCUAAAAUUGAGUGUUUUGCUCCAAUUUGCAAUGUUUUCGUCCAAAUAACCUAAAAAGACUUUUGAAACUCCAAAACAUAGAAAUCACUUGAAAAAAUAUCAAAAACCGGGUUAAAACACCCUCAAAAGAUCUUGAAAUCAUAUCCAAAAAGGUGUAAAAAAAGGUUAUGUCAACUCUCUCAUACUUAGAUCUUUGUUUGUCCUUAAACAAAACAGAAAUCAAAGCUCGGAAAGAAGGUUGAAAGUUGAGUGAACUAGCUAAACACAGUCCUUCCAAACUAUAACAAUCAAACUAAAUCAAUCUAAAUCCAUCCUCAAAAAAUUCUCAACAAAAUCCCUGUGUCACUAUAACAUGGUGUCCUUGAUGCGAAAUCCAACCUAUCUAGAUUCAAAAUUUUGGUCAACUACCUCUCUACAACCAUUAAAUUUUGCGUAAAUUUCUCAACAGAAGGGGCUAGAUAUCAAAGACUUUUUAAUAGUGAGGCUUAACAUGUUUUGGGUUACCAUUUUUUGCUGGAGGAUGCAAGAUAUUAUGCAAAAAAGCAAGAAAAGAAGGAUAUAGUAAUAACCACAGUUUCCAGUCACAUCUUUUUGCACAAUAGUGGCUGCAAAUUCCUCCUUUUUGUUACUUCUUCACCAUUCCUCCAAACUUAUGUUUUAGCGCGGAAAAGGAAUCAAAUGGCGUCUAAACUUGUCACCAAUGAACUAUGCCUCCCUUUAUUGAACUUUUUGGCCAAAUAAUUAUUUAGGCUUUUUGUUUUCUUUCCUUUCAAUUUUUUUUUUUAGUUUUUUUUAAGGGGGAUUGCUUAAUGAGAUAGUCCUAGGAGGCACAAAAAUUUACCAGUGAUCUGAGAAGUCCUAGGAGGCACAAAAAUUUACCAGUGAUCUGAGAUAUCCAAGGUAGAGCAGUGGAAAUCGGAUUUCAAAGCUUUCAAAAAAAAAUAAAAACCACCACCUAUAUUACAUUUUCUAGUCACUGUAGUUGUUUUAUUUGCAGGAAAAUCAGUCUUUACAAAACCAGACCGAGUUCCUUGCCUCUCUCUUGUUGUGAAAUUGUAGAUGUCUCCAAAAGUAAGGAAUGUUCAAGCAAGGUCUGCAGUCUGUCGUUUUUGGCUAGUGAGGAUCCGACCACACAGACCACAUGGAGUGUGAAUGGAGAGUCUUAGUGGACCACCAGCAGCAGAAAGCCCCAAUGAACAAACCGAGAAGAAACCGAGUUGGAAAUGAGCCUGUUCAUGUUCGAGUCGCAGCCCAUGCUACCAUCUUGGAGGAUCCAAGAGGUAUGGCGACAUGAACCAAGGACAAGGUGUGAAUGCUCACUAGCAGCAUCAUCAUGUGCCACUCCCAGUGAAUGUUCAGGCGCAGAACAUGCCUCCACCGCCGCCUCAUGCGCCAGUUUAUGCGUUUGGUUUGACAAAUUAAGAGGCCAUGAAACACCUGAAGGACAUGGGAAUGGAAGCCUUUGGAGGGAGAUCUGAUCCUGUCUCUACUAAUAAUUGAAGAAGAGGUUGGAGAAAAUUUUGAUUUCAUGAGGUGCACAGAGGGUUACUGAAAAGAUUUAGUUGUUCAGUACCUUCAAAACGUGACACUGAUAUGAUGGAAAGAUGUGGUAGAAGGAGUCCAAGGUCUUUAUGAGCUGACAUAGAUGAUUUUAAGGAGGAUUAUUCCCAAGAAUACUUCUACCUGAGGCCUUGGACCAGAUAGAGAGUGCUUUUGAAGACUUUUGCCAAGAACAUUGUACUGUGAGGGAGUUCAAGGAAGAAUUUAACAGGCUGAGGAGGUUUUACAAGAAGCAUUUCACGCAAGCUGAUUUGGUUCCCAGUUCAUGAAGAGUAUGAGACUGGAGCUGAAAAAACCGGUGUUCUAUGGGCUUCUUUAGCUUCAAUCUCAGAUCCUUCAUGAACUGGUAAACUAACUCAGCUUGUGUGAAAUGCUCUCUGGAUAACUUCCUCAGCCUGUUAAACUCUUCCUUGUAUUCCUUUACAUUACAAUUUUCCUGGCGAAGGUCCACAAAAGCACUCUCAAUCUGGUAUAUGGCCUCAGCUGAAAAGUAUUCUUGGGAGAACUCCUCCUUAAGAUCAUCCCAUGUCAAUUCAUAACAACGUUGGACUUCUUAUACCACACAUUCCCACCAUAUCAGUGCCUCAUCCUUAAGUUAAUGAAUAGCUAAAUCCUAUCAGUAACCCUCCGAAUACCUCAUGGAAUCAAAAUUCCUCUACAACCUCUUCCUAUAGUUAUCAGCAGAGACAAGAUCAUAUCUCCUUCCAAAGGCUUCCAUUUUCAUGUCAUUUAGAUGUCUCAUGACCUCAUAAUACGUCAAACCAAACUCAUUAACUGGCGCAAGAGGCAGCAGCGGAGGCAUGUUCUGCAGAUGAAGAUUCACUAGAGGUGGCACAUGAUGCUGCUGCUGGUGAGCAUUCACACAUGGUCCUUGGUUCAUGUCUUUAUACCUAUGCUGAUAUCGGUGAAACUCCUCCAAGAAGGCAGCAUGGGCUGCGGCUGGCACAUAAACAGGCUCAUUUCGAACAUGGUUUCCUCCUGGUUGGUUCACGGGGGCUUGCUGCUGCUUCAUUGGGCCUCCAUUCACACUUCCUAGGGUCUCUGUGGUUUGAUCCUCACCAGCCAAACGACCGGCUGCAGACCUUGCUUGAACAUUCUUUUUUUUUGGAGGGAUCUACAAAUUCACAACAAGAGAGAGGCAAGUAAGUCAGUCUGGUCGCGUAAAGACUGAUAUUUCUGCAAAUAAAACAACAACAAUGACUAGAAAAGCUAAUCUAGGUGGUGGUUUUUUUUUGUUGAAAACUUUGAAAUCUGAUAUCCAUCCUUAAUACUCUAAACUUAACUCUCUAAUGUCCUCUCGAACCAUGCUCUAUUACCAACUUGAAACACUCCGAUCCUGCCUUCUCAAAGGAGCCAGACGAAACUACCAUAUCACAUUUAACCCCGCCUCUUUACCAAAUAAAGAUGAAGAGGUCUUUCCCUGUUGUUUUGUUUCUGCCACGAGAAAGAUACAUGGAAGAGGUAUGCCCAGCACGCGGAGAAGUAGAGGCAUCUUUUACCCGGUGAUGUAGGGUAAAGAAGGGCUAUUCUCUCUUUGCGAUGAAUCAAUUCCUUUUCUUUUGCAAGAUUCUCAGCAUCUAUGGGGAGAGUGUCCCAAAGCCCCUUUUCCCCAGUUACACUUUUUAUCGCUUUUUCUUUUGUACGAUUCAGGAGUAUAAUCAGUUGCGACACCAAUAGGAAUGCAUGCUAAAAGACCAGUCCAAUAAUCCCACUCACUGGUAAAUAAGUUAGCAAACUAUUUCUCAUUUAACAACCACAUUCCCAACAAAUUCCCAUUUCUUAUUCCCAAAUCUCAAUCCAAAGUCUUACAAAUCCUAAGAAGACUUCUUAAAGAAAAUCCAAAAUAAAUACCAAAAUAAAUGUCUUAGAAAUGAAUUACGGGAUUAUCUUAAAAGCCAAAUAAAACCUCCUUCCUCUCCAAAGGCACACCACACUAGAACUAUUCAUCUAGUUCUUCAUAAUCAUCAUCAAACACAUCAUCUAGUUCCUAAUAAUCAUCAUCAAACACAUCAUCACCAUACCCACCUGCAAAAUAAUAGAUAUAGAGGAAUGGUGAGUAAUUGAGAUUAUGAGAACCAAACCUAGGCUCGCUCCCUUACCCGCUCAUAUUUCACCAAUAUGCCAAGAAUAAAUUAAACAAACAACAAACAUGCUCUACAAGCGCACAAACAACUACACAAACAUGGGAUACACAAUUUCUCAUCCACCACGUUCCAGAACCACUGCUCAAUAUAUCAAACCAAGGUCACACAGACUGUCUUGAAGUUCGUUUAACCUUCCGGCAUUGAGAACCGGCCUAUUCUCCAGAUCCGAUUCCCAGCACACAAUAUUUGUACCAUCGACAUCCCUUAGCUGCGACGAAAAACUGAUAUAGCUAUUUUCCACUCACUAGUUAAGCAACAUAGUCCCAAGAAAGCAUGCAGAUUCUUACUCUAAUGAGAUCCUAAUCCAGUUUUAUGAUGUAGAUCUGACUAGAUGCAUGAAGAAAAUGUGUAUGUACUUUGUAACACGUCCAAACUUCAUUAGAUCUAAACUUCACAUAUCAAAAGAAGACAAGAAAAUAAGAAAAAAAACUUAGAUCUAAUCCCUACGUUAACAAAAAUGCAGACCUGGAUCAAAGAGGGCUGAAAGCAAAGGAAUCAAGGAGGCGACAGGGAGGAGGCUCGCGGUGGCUGGAGCGGCUAAGGAUGAUAUCUAUUUUUUUCUCUUGGUGGCUAGGACUUUGGAGAAACAAAUAAGGCUCGUUCUCUUUUAAUUUCUCAUUUAAAUAUGAUACUAAAUUAGUGUUUUAUAAAUGGAUUGGGG
rnacentral:lncRNA from 1 species